CCGGGGUGGACGUCACCCGUGAGUUCAAUCGUUUGAAGCGAUUGGUAUUUCAGGGCUUCCAAAGCCCUGUCCGGGCCGCGUCCGGGACCCCGGU
rnacentral:tRNA from 2 species